rnacentral:rRNA from 1 species
GUUAAAAAGCUCGUAGUUGGAUCUCAACAGCCUUGAAGCGGUUAACUUUGUAGUUUUACUGCUUUAUAGGCUGUGCUUUUGCUGGAGGUUUAGGGGUGCUCUUGAUCGAGUGUCUCUGGAUGCCAGCAGGUUUACUUUGAAAAAAUUAGAGUGCUCAAAGCAAGCUAAAAUGCCUGAAUAUUCGUGCAUGGAAUAAUAGAAUAGGAUGUCGAUCCUAUUUUGUUGGUUUUCGGGACUCGACAUAAUGAUAAAUAGGGACAGUCGGGGGCAUUUGUAUUCAAACGACAGAGGUGAAAUUCUUGGACCGUUUGAAGACAAACUACUGCGAAAGCAUUUGCCAAGAAUGUUUUCAUUAAUCAAGAACGAAAGUUAGAGGUUCGAAGGCGAUUAGAUACCGCCCUAGUUCU